UAAUCGAGACCACACAAACUUAUCAGUGUAGUUUGUCUUUGUCAUAAAAUCUGUUAUGUUGUCAUUGGUAUUAAUUUUCUGCAUAUCUACUAUCCCUUCUUCCACUUUCUCACUAAUGAAGUGGUAUUGGACACGAAUGUCUUUUGUUCUUGAGUGAAAAGCAGAAUUCCUUGCAAGAUGCAAGGUACUUUGACUGUCAUAAAACAAAGAGACAUACUCUUUUUUGUGCUCGAGCUCCUUCAAUAGCAUUUUCAACCAAAUUACUUCUUUACUGGUUUGUGUAGCUGCUAUAUAUUCUGCCUAUGUUGUCGACGUACCAAAAAUGACUGCAGUUUUG